rnacentral:sRNA from 2 species
AUAUCUCUCUGUACGGGAAGGAUGAGAAGCUUCGACCAAGGUUCGAUUCGAGCGCAGCGAGAAAGCGUUGCCGCAGGCAACGGCCCGAAGGGCGAAGCGCGCAGCGCUGAGUCAUCCUUCCCCCACCACCA